rnacentral:pre_miRNA from 1 species
CGUGUUCACCGGACUUGCCUUGAUGUGGCGAUAUGAUGAAACGAUUAAGGCACGCGGUGAAUGCCAA